AUUGAACGCUGGCGGCAGGCCUAACUCAUGCAAGUCGAGCGGAUGAAGGGAGCUUGCUCCUGGAUUCAGCGGCGGACGGGUGAGUAAUGCCUAGGAAUCUGCCUGGUAGUGGGGGAUAACGUCCGGAAACGGGCGCUAAUACCGCAUACGUCCUGAGGGAGAAAGUGGGGGAUCUUCGGACCUCACGCUAUCAGAUGAGCCUAGGUCGGAUUAGCUAGUUGGUGGGGUAAAGGCCUACCAAGGCGACGAUCCGUAACUGGUCUGAGAGGAUGAUCAGUCACACUGGAACUGAGACACGGUCCAGACUCCUACGGGAGGCAGCAGUGGGGAAUAUUGUACAAUGGGCGAAAGCCUGGUCCAGCCAUGCCGCGUGUGUGAAGAAGGUCUUCGGAUUGUAAAGCACUUUAAGUUGGGAGGAAGGGCAGUAAGUUAAUACCUUGCUGUUUUGACGUUACCAACAGAAUAAGCACCGGCUAACUUCGUG
rnacentral:rRNA from 1 species